UCGGGAAUUUUGGGCAAUGGGCGAAAGCCUGACCCAGCAACGCCGCGUGAAGGAUGAAGUAUUUCGGUAUGUAAACUUCGAAAGAAUAGGAAGAAUAAAUGACGGUACUAUUUAUAAGGUCCGGCUAACUACGUGCCAGCAGCCGCGGUAAUACGUAGGGACCAAGCGUUGUUCGGAUUUACUGGGCGUAAAGGGCGCGUAGGCGGCAAUUCAAGUCAUCUGUGAAAUCUCCGGGCUUAACUCGGAACGGUCAGAUGAUACUGCUUUGCUAGAGUGCAGAAGGGGCGAUCGGAAUUCUUGGUGUAGCGGUGAAAUGCGUAGAUAUCAAGAGGAACACCUGAGGUGAAGACGGGUUGCUGGGCUGACACUGACGCUGAGGCGCGAAAGCCAGGGGAGCAAACGGGAUUAGAUACCCACGUAGUCCCUGAGCGGGC
rnacentral:rRNA from 1 species